rnacentral:rRNA from 1 species
GUAGGGUGCGAGCGUUGUCCGGAAUUACUGGGCGUAAAGAGCUUGUAGGCGGUUUGUCGCGUCGUCCGUGAAAACUUGGGGCUCAACCCCAAGCUUGCGGGCGAUACGGGCAGACUUGAGUACUUCAGGGGAGACUGGAAUUCCUGGUGUAGCGGUGAAAUGCGCAGAUAUCAGGAGGAACACCGGUGGCGAAGGCGGGUCUCUGGGAAGUAACUGACGCUGAGAAGCGAAAGCGUGGGUAGCGAACAGGAUUAGAUACCCUGGUAGUCCACGCCGUAAACGGUGGGCGCUAGGUGUGGGUUUCCUUCCACGGGAUCCGUGCCGUAGCUAACGCAUUAAGCGCCCCGCCUGGGGAGUACGGCCGCAAGGCUAAA